rnacentral:rRNA from 1 species
CCUACGGGAGGCAGCAGUGAGGAAUAUUGGUCAAUGGCCGCAGGGCUGAACCAGCCAAGUCGCGUGAGGGAUGACGGUCCUAUGGAUUGUAAACCUCUUUUGUCAGGGAGCAAAGUGCGCCACGUGUGGCGUUUUGCGAGUACCUGAAGAACACGCAUCGGCUAACUCCGUGCCAGCAGCCGCGGUAAUACGGAGGAUGCGAGCGUUAUCCGGAUUUAUUGGGGUUAAAGGGUGCGCAGGCGGAAUGUCAAGUCAGCGGUAAAAUUUCGGGGCUCAACCCCGUCGUGCCGUUGAAACUGGCGGUCUUGAGUGGGCGAGAAGUAGGCGGAAUGCGUGGUGUAGCGGUGAAAUGCAUAGAUAUCACGCAGAACUCCGAUUGCGAAGGCAGCAUACCGGCGCUAAACUGACGCUCAUGCACGAAAGCGUGGGUAUCGAACAGGAUUAGAUACCCUGGUAGUC